AAACCAACAGGGAUUGCCUCAGUAGCGGCGAGUGAAGCGGCAAAAGCUCAGAUUUGAAAUCGUGUUUCGGCACGAGUUGUAGAUUGCAGGUUGGAGUCUUUGUGGAAGCGUGUGUCUAAGUCCCUUGGAACAGGGUGCCAUUGAGGGUGAGAGCCCCGUGAGACGCGUGCGGAAGCUGUAAGGCCCUUCUGACGAGUCGAGUUGUUUGGGAAUGCAGCUCUAAGUGGGUGGUAAAUUCCAUCUAAGGCUAAAUAUUGGCGAGAGACCGAUAGCGAACAAGUACUGUGAAGGAAAGAUGAAAAGCACUUUGAAAAGAGAGUGAAACAGCACGUGAAAUUGUUGAAAGGGAAGGGUAUUGGGCUCGACAUGGGAUUUGCGCACCGCUGCUCCUUGUGGGCGGCGCUCUGUGCUUUUCCUGGGCCAGCAUCGGUUUUUGCCGCAGGAGAAGGCGUGCUGGAAUGUGGCUCUUCGGAGUGUUAUAGCCAGUGCGAGAU
rnacentral:rRNA from 1 species